ACGAAGGUGGCGACCGUUGUUCGGAAUCACUGGGCAUAAAGCGCACGUAGGCGGUGAAGAAAGUCAGGUGUGAAAUCCCUCGGUCUAACUGAGGAACUGCGCUUGAAACUACUUUGCUUGAGGACAGGAGGGGAGCGUGGAAUUCCUGGUGGAGCGGUGAAAUGCGUUGAUAUCAGGAGGAACACCGGCGGCGAAGGCGACGCUCUGGCCUGUUUCUGACGCUGAGGUGCGAAAGCCAGGGGAGCAAACGGGA
rnacentral:rRNA from 1 species